UGUGCAUCUUGAUUCUUCUCACAAUCA
rnacentral:piRNA from 1 species